AUGCCUUAAACUAAUGAGUAAGGAAAAUAAUGAGCUUGGGUGACGCCAGGCUCCACAGCAAUACACUUGUCUGUGAAGAAUUUUUGCGGGGGAAAGGUCGCCCUCGGUGUGACUUGCCUACUUUCGCAAGUUGCCCUUGUUGUGUGGUCUACCCC